CCCAGAGGUGGCUGUAAGCAAGCAGAUCACAAGUCCUUUAACAAGUUCUUUCAAAUAGCAGUAGAGCUCAGAGGGGGGCUGUUGUUUCAAACAAGAUUCAAUUAGCAUCAAGUUAUUAAAGGGCAGCCGGGGAAACAAGAAUAAUAUUGACAGACCUGCUUUUUAAGCAGUAUCUUUUCCCUCUAAUCAGCUGAGUUUGUUGGAGCUGAUCAUUUUAUUUCUUCAACUCCAUUCAACUAUAGGUGCAAAGAAUGAGAACUUCAGUGUAACUCCAAUUUUCUAAGAGAACUAAUCAUAUUGCUGCUUUAUAAAAAAGGUAAUCUUUCACAGUUGCUUAGAUUUAUGAAUAAUUAGAUUUAAAGCAUUAUACUGGAAUCUAGAAAUCUAGCUAAAAGAGCUGAGGUUCUUAUCUGAAUUAUUUGGGCCGUUAGCCCUUCUGUUGAACUAUAGAAAGAACUUAAAGAUAUAGUUGUAAAAUAAGGACGUACUCCCCAAAACUGUCCCAAGUAUCCACUUGAUUCUGUAUCUUUAUAUUGCAUCUUUUUCUCAUAUUUCUGCAAGUUUACAUAAACUCUGGUCAACUAUGAAUGCCUCCCGGGAUGAGAAAUGGGAGUUUGGGUGAAAUAGAUUAGAGAAUAGGUUUUGGGGUUUUUUUUAACCACAUACUCUCUUGUCAACUUUCAAGUUUUGUGCUUGUACCUCUUCCAAAGUAUUCAUUUGAAAAUAUUUCAUUUUUGAAAUCAGAAAGGCACUGUCUGUGCUCUCUCUCCGCCAGAUACUCAGUCUGGGUUACAGGAAGUAGAAAUUUGUGACUACUAGCCUUUCCCAGCCUCCUUUGUAACUCUUGACUUUGGAAAUGGGAAUUCAGCCACUGAGAACUUUUUGAUGUGCAGCUGCCUUUCUCAGGGAACACUAACCAAGAAACAAAGUCUUCAGGUCACCUUUCCUCUUCCUUUUGUGAGGACAGGAGACAAAAGAACAAGAUCUCCCUGAAGUGUCUCCUUGGCUUUACAACAUUCCACAGUAGGCACCUAACACUUGAGUUAAAUGUGCAGACUACACACCUACCAUAAAAUUAGGGCACUCAAGGUAAGGAAAGUAUUUCCAUAGUUACUUGGAUAUUUGGCAGAGUAGUUUUCUCUCUUAAACUACUAAUUGCCCAUAACUUGCUGGGUGUGUACACAACCUGUAGGAAGUAUUAUUUUUAAAAGUUAUCGGCUGGGCGUGGUGGCUCACGUUUGUAAUUCUAGCACUUUGUGAGGCCGAGGUGGGCGGAUCACCUGAGGUCAGGAGUUCGAGUCCAACCUGGCCAACAUGGUGAAACCCCGUCUCUACUAAAAAAAAUACAAAAAAUUAGCUGGGCAUGGUGGCUCAUGCCUGUAAUCCCAGCUACUGGGGAUGGUGAGGCAGGAGAAUCACUUGAACCUGGGAGGCAGAGGUUGUGGUGAGCCAGAAUUGUGCCACUGCACUCCAGCCUGGGCAACAGAGCAAGACUCCGUGUCAAAAAAAAAAAAAAGUUAUCAACAUAAACAAAUUCUCAUAGCAGAAUCAAGAAAAUUCAAAUACAGGAAACUGAAUCAACUUUAAAGAAAGAGAAUCAUUAUUAAAGAGUGUAAGAAAAGCAGAGAGCAGCAGAUUCUAUAAUUUUUAUUACAAAAAAAACCCUUUACAUGCUAUGACAUUAAAUGUCACUUAUAAGGUCAUUGCAAGCAAAUCUUUUUAAAAAAUAUACAUACUGUAUAUAUUUACAUUCAAGUUUGAAUAAUAUUUGUCAAGAUAUAGUUCAGAUUCUACUCUUUACCCAUUCUGUGGAUUUGUUCAUCUAGUAACUAAACAGCGAUUGUAUCAUCACUCAGGCACAUAGAGAGGUAGAAACCGCUUUUUUAAAGAAAAAAAAACUGGAGUGCAAAUGUGAAGAUCACUGAAGCAGCUUAGCUACAUCAAGGAGACCCUAACUAGCUUUGGUCAUCUCAAAAAGCUGAAUAUAUGUAGCCUUGUCCUUUAAAUUAAAACCAGAAAAACUUUGGGCAGGUGCUCUUCUGAGCACAUCAGAGUGCUGACAGAACUCAGCAACUAAUGGUCUGCCACUCUGCAACGCGAAUUGCACAUGACUAAGUGAGGCAAAGAUAGCAGCGGAGCUGGGCUGGCAGCUGGGCACCUUUUCCCUGAUAAGACACAAAUCAUAACCAAACAAGUGGCUUACAAGACAGUCAAUUAAUAUCUGGACAUAUAGUCUGGAACUCGGAAGCCAACUAAAGUACUUCAUUUCCCAAGUGAAAUCCCUAUUCAUUUUUGUUCUCCCACCUCCAUCCCAAACUGAGCUCCUAAGUCUAGAUAGGGAUGGGGGUCGCCUGGGACUUCUGCAGGCCACAGUUUUUCGGCCCCAAGUACCGGCCUCACGAAGGCUCUUGGGACUGAGAAGGGCUGCCGGGGUUCUUGAUAAACUUAGUGGGGGUUGUUCCAGAGAGGGGAAGUUGGAGGGGAGCCACAGGAAUGGCCGUGGCCAGAAGCCCUUCUCGUUCCCUUUUCUUCUGUUUCAUCCUGCGGUUCUGGAACCAGAUUUUGACUUGCGUGUCAUUCAGGUGCAAGCAGUUGGCUAUCUCGAUGCGCCGGGCUCGAG
rnacentral:lncRNA from 10 species